UACGGAGGGUGCGAGCGUUGUCCGGAAUCACUGGGCGUAAAGGGCGCGUAGGCGGUUCUUCAAGCGUGUGGUGAAAGUCCGGGGCUCAACCCCGGAUCGGCCGUGCGAACUGGGGGACUCGAGCACUGUAGAGGCGGGUGGAAUUCCGGGUGUAGCGGUGGAAUGCGUAGAGAUCCGGAAGAACACCAGUGGCGAAGGCGGGUCUCUGGGCAGUAACUGACGCUGAGGAGCGAAAGCGUGGGGAGCGAACAGG
rnacentral:rRNA from 1 species